rnacentral:rRNA from 1 species
CCUACGAGAGGCUGCAGUGGGGAAUAUUGGACAAUGGGGGGAACCCUGAUCCAGCCAUGCCGCGUGUGUGAAGAAGGCCCUCGGGUUGUAAAGCACUUUCAGUGAGGAAGAACGCCUGGUGGUUAAUACCCAUCAGGAAAGACAUCACUCACAGAAGAAGCACCGGCUAACUCCGUGCCAGCAGCCGCGGUAAUACGGAGGGUGCGAGCGUUAAUCGGAAUUACUGGGCGUAAAGCGCGCGUAGGUGGCUUGAUAAGCCGGUUGUGAAAGUCCCGGGCUCAACCUGGGAACGGCAUCCGGAACUGUCAAGCUAGAGUGCAGGAGAGGAAGGUAGAAUUCCCGGUGUAGCGGUGAAAUGCGUAGAGAUCGGGAGGAAUACCAGUGGCGAAGGCGGCCUUCUGGACUGACACUGACACUGAGGUGCGAAAGCGUGGGUAGCAAACAGGAUUAGAUACCCUUGUAGUC